GAAUUUUCAGGUUAGUUCGAAAACUUUGACUUGCACAGAAUAAGCUGCUGAAUUUGUGACAAAUUUGAUACAACUCAUCAGAGAAAUGCCUUGGGUUUAUGUACGAAAAAGAGGUGCUCGAUCCUACAUGAAUUACACUGACGAAGUGUUGCAGACGGCCCUCAGCGAAAUCAAGGACAAAAAAAUAAGCAUUCGAGGAGCAGCAGAAAAGAUGCCAUACACAGAAACACUCUGCUGUCCAAGAUCCAUGACAAGCACAAGAAGAAACCUGGCGGUCAAACUGUGUUCACAAAGGAGGAGGAGCAUUCGUUUGUGGCCCAUAUUAUCGUCUUGUCUACAUAUGGCUUCCCAAUUACAGGACUAGACUUAAGAUAUACAAUAAAAAGUUACCUAGAUAAACAAGGCAGGCGUGUAGAGAAAUUCAAAAACAAUGUUCCAGGCAUUGAGUGGUGCAACUCAUUUAUCAGUAAGACAUAAAUCCAUUUUAAGCAACAGGUAUGCUAGGAAUAUAACCCAUGCAAGGGCAAGCAUUGAUAAAGACAUAGUAGAUGGUUUUUUGAGAACAUUGAGAGGGAGCUUAGGGGGGUACCAGCUUCUAACAUUUGGAAUUUCGAUGAAAACAAAUUUAGUGGACGAUCCGGGGACAAAAAAAGUUUUGGUAAAGAGGGGUACAAAGUAUCCAGAAAAAAUUCGAAAUUCAACUAAAGCCUGUACUUCAGUCAUGCUAUGUGGUAGUGCCGAAGGUAUAAUGGCUCCUAUCUAUGUGGUCUAUAAGGCUGAAAAUCUUUGGCACUCAUGGACUGAAGGAGGGCCUGCAAAUGCCAGAUUCAAUCGUACAAAAUCAGGCUGGUUUGAUGCACAAUGUUUUGAGGAUUGGUUUGCAUAUUUAAUGCUACCAAUAUUAAAAAAAACAGGCAGGGAAAAAGAUUUUGAUAGGUGACAACUUGAGCUCUCAUUUAAAUUUAGAGGUUGUUCGCUUAUGUAAUGAGAAUAAUAUUGCUUUCAUUGCUCUUCCCCCAAACACAACACACUUAUUGCAACCACUCGACGUUGCAUACUUUAGGUCCAUGAAAAGAGAGUGGCGGAAAGUGCUAGACCAGUGCAAAGAUACUCCUUAUGGGAGUAAAUGUAGUUCAAUCCCCAAAGAUCAAUUUCCAAGACUCAUAAAAACACUUCUAGACAAUUUAGCUGAGAAUGAUUGUAACAACUUGAAAGCAGGAUUUAGGAAAUGUGGUCUGGUGCCAUUGAACGGUACCAUAGUUCAUGAACGCUUAUGUGACAAUGUAAUGGAUUCCAUCAUUGAUAAUAAUGUUGGGAUGGUAGAUAGUAUCAGUGACAACUUUCUACAAGAACUGAGAAAUAAAAGACAAGACGAAGUUGGCUCCAAGAGACAAAGAAAGAGAAAAAUAAACGUGACACCAGGUAGAGGAAUCACUCAAGAAGAUUUGCUGGAGAAUCCAGAACUUCUCAACAGGAAUACCACUAAUUGUGAACCUGUACCAAUAGCAGGAACAAGUAGUACCGGUACUAGUAAACAUACUGGUAAUAAAAAGAAACAAAGACAGACUGAUAUGAGUUAAUCAGAGAGUGAGAUUGAGAUAGAGGAGAGCUUGGAAGAGUCUGUUGAAGGUAGUUUACAUGUUAGCAAUGAUGAUGAGAACCAAGAGGACAACCAACAAGGUCAAGUUGACAAUUAGUUAUUUGUAUAUCUAGAGUGAAAGGUACGACUUUUUCUACCCGUGGGAAAAAGGUUGAAGCCGGAUGCAAAGCCGAGGGCAACAAUUUUCCUGAGGGAGAAAAAGUAUUUUUCGCUCGUGAUGUACACAACAUUUUUCCUCCAUCUACUUUUUUCAUAGAAACUGCAAAUAAAAUCAUUUUAAUAACUUACGUAUUGGUGACAAUGUUUCCUAACAACAUAACCUAACAUCUAAAACCUAAAAACCGGUCGGCUGAUUGGCACUGCCGAUUGCGCUAUCUAUCGGCUAAAGUUGUAACAAUUAUAUCAGCUGAGCGGCUAUCAAAAAUGGCUGACUCCAGAUACCGCGUUUCAGAUUUGAAUUGCAGAUCAAAAAUAUUUGUUGGCUGGUAUUUUGAAUAGAAUAAAAUAUUUGAAAAAUUGUAUAAAUUUUUAUCGUUUACUAAUAUUAAGAAUAUAAAAUCAUAGGCCUACAAACAUAUAUUUCAUGAGUUGAUCAAAUUUCUUGUUGUGGUAUUGAAUUCAGUUGACUCAAUGACAUACACCUCUAUUAUGCUUUCUCAUCUGAGCUUAGACCUUCUAACCUAUUGCAAUGUGAGUUUUUGAAAUAGAGAUGCUUCCCAUGUUAUUUAAAUGGAGUCAAUUUUCCUCCCUAGGGAGUUUUUCUGUUUUUUACUACCGAGGGCGAAAAAGUGACACUUUAGUAUCAGCCAUCAGAUAUAUAUACGAGUAUAUAUAUUAAAUGUUCAAUAAAAUGAAAAAUAAAUUUCAUUCAA